rnacentral:miRNA from 1 species
UGUGCCUUGUGUGCUUUUUGUGUUUUAGUAAAUACUCAGUUUUUAAGAAUUAACCCCCAGGCUGGAGAGAUGGCUCAGCCAUUAAAGGCUAGGCUCACAACCAAAAAUAUA